rnacentral:rRNA from 1 species
UGCAAGUCGAACGGUGAACACGGGAGCUUGCUCUGUGGGAUCAGUGGCGAACGGGUGAGUAACACGUGAGCAACCUGCCCCUGACUCUGGGAUAAGCGCUGGAAACGGCGUCUAAUACUGGAUACGAGUAGCGACCGCAUGGUCAGUUACUGGAAAGAUUUAUUGGUUGGGGAUGGGCUCGCGGCCUAUCAGCUUGUUGGUGAGGUAAUGGCUCACCAAGGCGUCGACGGGUAGCCGGCCUGAGAGGGUGACCGGCCACACUGGGACUGAGACACGGCCCAGACUCCUACGGGAGGCAGCAGUGGGGAAUAUUGCACAAUGGGCGCAAGCCUGAUGCAGCAACGCCGCGUGAGGGAUGACGGCCUUCGGGUUGUAAACCUCUUUUAGCAGGGAAGAAGCGAAAGUGACGGUACCUGCAGAAAAAGCGCCGGCUAACUACGUGCCAGCAGCCGCGGUAAUACGUAGGGCGCAAGCGUUAUCCGGAAUUAUUGGGCGUAAAGAGCUCGUAGGCGGUUUGUCGCGUCUGCUGUGAAAUCCGGAGGCUCAACCUCCGGCCUGCAGUGGGUACGGGCAGACUAGAGUGCGGUAGGGGAGAUUGGAAUUCCUGGUGUAGCGGUGGAAUGCGCAGAUAUCAGGAGGAACACCGAUGGCGAAGGCAGAUCUCUGGGCCGUAACUGACGCUGAGGAGCGAAAGGGUGGGGAGCAAACAGGCUUAGAUACCCUGGUAGUCCACCCCGUAAACGUUGGGAACUAGUUGUGGGGUCCAUUCCACGGAUUCCGUGACGCAGCUAACGCAUUAAGUUCCCCGCCUGGGGAGUACGGCCGCAAGGCUAAAACUCAAAGGAAUUGACGGGGACCCGCACAAGCGGCGGAGCAUGCGGAUUAAUUCGAUGCAACGCGAAGAACCUUACCAAGGCUUGACAUAUACGA